GGAGGAUCACCUGAGCCUAGGAGGUUGAGGCCAAGAUCGUGCCACUGCACUCCAGCCUGGGUGACAAAGGGAGGCCCUGUCUCAAAAAAAAACAAAAAACCUGAAAAACAAAAUCAUAAAACCCUGACAGUCAGUACCUAGAUGGAUAUGGAGAGGAAGACCUAAAACUUUCAUCUUAGAAAUGUUUCAUUUUGGUUUUUCACCAACCUUCCUUUGAUAGGACAAAGCAGAUAGGAGGAGGAAAGGCUGUUCUGUGUCUGAACCCAGUUGGGCUAGUCCCCAAGAGGAGCUGAGAGCCAUGUACUCUAAUGCCUCCUUUUUCUUCCCCCAGCCGAAGUGUGUUGUUACCACUGAUCUCCUGGCUCUGAGAAUUCCUGCAGAGAAGAGCAGGGUGGCAAGGAGAUAGUGAGCAACUCCCAGGAGUUAGCCACACCUGGUGAUUCGGCUGUAUAUAUCUCCUAGGAGCAUGGAGGGAUCCAGAAUCUGGACAGAACCACCUAGAAAUAACUCGGCAGAAUUCUGAAAAUGAGGUCACGCUGGGACUUCCAGUUCCCCAGCCAGAUGGGGUCACAAGGCUGCAGAAAAGUGAAGAGCUUUGGAAUGAAGUUCUCCGGGACUUCAAGGAGAUUCAGAAAACAUCCAGCACAGUGUCUUACUGUCUGCAGGCCCCUCCACCAACCUAAGACCUGAAUUCCUGCUAGGCUAGGAAAGGCCUGCUGCCAAUGUGUGGAAGUUUAGUAGCCAGUCGGAGAAAAGGCCUGCCACUGAAGAACCUGGAGAGUUCGAAUUCCUCUGUGAGCAACUUUAACUUCUGGAGUCAGGUUUAUCAUGGUGCUGGAGGCUCCUUCCUGAGCACCUAACAGUCCCCUGGAAGAAAGAGAUCAGAUAACAGACAAAAUCCUGCUCGGCAGUACCUGAGAUGGCCAAGCAAUUCUUCAGGCUUGGGGCCCAAGUCACUCGUAGCAGCUCUGGGUCAGGGCUAGGUAUGGAUACUGGGCACUGGACUGAGCUCACAGGAUGGCAGAGAUCCCGGGGGUCAAGAAGACAAAGACGUCCAUCUGAGCCAAGGCUGGCAAUGCUGGGCCCAGGGCCCUGGCCCCUGCUCCCAACUUCGGCACACCAUCUCUCUCCACCAGACCCAGGGCCAGGGCUGCGAUUCUCCAAUGGUGCCCACUUCUGGCGGGUGUCAACAAGCCCCAGCCGGCCCGAAGCACAGCAGAAGGCAAAGGUGUCUGCAUCUAGGACCUGCAGGCUACUCAGCUCCUCGCUGUCACUGACAUCUGGAAGACCAAGAGCAAAGGAGACAAGCAGCUGAAGGCAGAAUAAAUCAUAUCUCCCUUCCCACUCAUCUCGCUGUUGUCUGCUCGGCUGGUUGGGUGCUGGUCCCUGGGACUGCCUAAUCCUGCCCCAGCAUGGGAGCCUUUUGAGGCCAGGGCUCACCUCUUAUUCACUGUGUAUCCCGAACACCUGGCGCACAGGGUUGAACUCAGUUUCCAUAGUGGCUGAGUUGGGCUGGGGGGUGAUGCCGGCUGAAGCAGCCAGCAAGGGGCAAAGUACCACAGUACCUGAGGUGUACGUGGUCUUCCGGGAUUCCAGAUCAACGACCUGCAGACUGCGGAGUCUCGCCCCAUGGAGGACUCCAGGUGCCAUCGCGGUGAAGACAGCCACCCUAGGCCAGAGACUCUCCUCUUUCUCAUGCACACCAAUGGUGCUGACAGCUUUAAUGACAUCUAGGGGAAAACGAAAAGAGGCUAAAAUCCAGAACUUUAAUGAAGGUUUGAAACAUGCCAGGCCAGCCGUCUUCCCCUGUACAUUUAGAAGGUCAAGGAAGAAAAGGAGCUGCCGGUUGGCAAGAGAUGAUGUUGACACAUAACCACUCUGACUUAUGUUUACAUUUUUGAAACCAUCAGAAACAUUUCAAUUUCUUUAUUAUUUGUCUUAUAAGCUGUUUUUUGCAAAUGGAAUGAACACGCUGCUGAUGUCACACCUUCAGCGACAAGUAACAGGUACAGAAUUCAUGAACUGAUAUUACUUCUUCAAAAACAUGUUCCAUGACCUCAAGUGACUUGCUAAAGCCUAGCAAGUACAGGUCACGUUACAGAUGUCAUUGUCUUGUAAGGUGGACAAGAAAGUCCACAUCUUUUUUACACUGAAUUGAACAUCCUUGGCUUUGAGUCAAGUUUUGUUUUGGUUCUUUUGUUUUUUUGAGACAGAGUCUCACUCACUCUGUUGCCCAGGCUGGAGUCCAGUGGCACAAUCUCAGCUUACCGUAGCCUCCGCCUCUCAGGUUCAAGCAGUUCUCCUGCCUCAGCCUCCCGAGUAGCUGGAAUUACAGAUGUGCACCCUCAUGCCCAGCUAAUUUUUUUGUAUUUUUAGUAGAGAUGGGGUUUCGCCAUGUUGCUCAGGCUGGGCUCAAACUCCUGGUCAGGCGACCCACCUACCUCGGCCUCCCAAAGUGCUGGGAUUAUAGGCAUGAGCCACUGCACCCAGCCAAGUUUUAGUUUUUAUUUGGUUGUCUCCACCCACUAGGUUAACAGGCAGGUUCUCCUCUCUGUAUUCUACAUCUGAGGCUUCUCUUAAUAUAUGCUUAAUGCUGCCAAAGAGGUGAGCUCACUUGAGCAGCCUUAGCUCUGCCCUUGCCACUGCCCCUGCCUAGGGAGAGUAGUUCUCUGGAUGAACUCAAUUCCAGGAGCAGGUUACAGGAAGCUCUAUUUGGGGCUUGGAUGUCAUGCUGUGGUUGCUAAUUCACCUUGUCUGCAUUAAAGUAGAUACUGCAUUUUAAUUCCCACCUG